rnacentral:rRNA from 1 species
UACGAAGGGGGCUAGCGUUGUUCGGAUUUACUGGGCGUAAAGCGCACGUAGGCGGAUCGUUAAGUCGGGGGUGAAAUCCUGGAGCUCAACUCCAGAACUGCCUUCGAUACUGGCGAUCUUGAGUCCGGAAGAGGUGAGUGGAACUCCUAGUGUAGAGGUGGAAUUCGUAGAUAUUAGGAAGAACACCAGUGGCGAAGGCGGCUCACUGGUCUGUAACUGACGCUGAGGCGCGAAAGCGUGGGGAGCGAACAGG